AUUGAACGCUGGCGGCAGGCUUAACACAUGCAAGUCGAGCGAGCGGCGGACGGGUGAGUAAUGUCUGGGAAACUGCCUGAUGGAGGGGGAUAACUAAUGGAAACGGUAGCUAAUACCGCAUACCAUCAGAGGUGCCCAGAUGGGAUUAGGUAGUAGGUGUGGUAAUGGCUCACCUAGGCGACGAUCCCUCGCUGGUCUGAGAGGAUGACCAGCCACACUGCAACUGAUACACUGUCCAGACGCCUACUGGAGGCAGAAGUGGGGAAUAUUGCACAAUGGGCGCAAGUCUGAUGCAGCCAUGCCGCGUGUGUGAAGAAGGCCUUCGGGUUGUAAAGCACUUUCAGCGAGGAGGCGUUACUCGCAGAAGAAGCACCGGCUAACUCCGUGCCAGCAGCCGCGGUAAUUC
rnacentral:rRNA from 1 species